CCAAGCACGCUUAACUGCGGAGUUCUGAUGAUCGCAUCCAAACUCCGCAGUUAAGCGUGCUUGGGCGAGAGUAGUACUAGAAUGGGUGACCCCCUGGGAAGUCCUCGUGUUGCAUGUC
rnacentral:rRNA from 1 species